CGGGGUGUAGCUCAGACUGGUAGAGCACUGCACCUGGGAUGCAGAGGUCCAGAGGUUCGAAUCCUCUCGCCCCGACCA
rnacentral:tRNA from 1 species